UUGGAUAGCCAUAGUUUUCCCAGUCCAUUUGGGCUGCUAUAACAAAAUAGAGUAGACAGCUUAUUACAAAUGGGAAUUUAUUUCUUCAGUUAUGAGGACUAGGAAGUCCAAGAUGCCAGCAGGAUUCAGUGUCUGCUCUGUGAAGGGAAGUAUAUGGACAGACAUACUGAGAUGAAAUUGAUUCAGCAAAAUGAGGAAUCUAUGGCCAAAAUGAAGCCAUGUCAUGAACGUGUACACCAGACUGAGGCACCAUCUAAAGAACUGAACUUAUAAUAACAACAUUGAAGCUUGAAAGUCCUGUUUAUUGAGAAAUGAAACUCAUGGCAGCAAGGGCAAUGACAAGUUG